rnacentral:lncRNA from 1 species
UCAUUUUAGGCCUUGACCAACCAAAAGCACGUUGGUAUAUUUUACCAUCUUCAAGUUAUUUCUUAUUUACUUUAUGGAAUUACAAAAUCCAUACAAUAGACAAGACAUUCUAUGAGGAGCAUAUUCAGCAUUGAAGUUUAGCUACUAAGGCAAUAGUUCUAAACACAACAACUGGUGAUUUCAUCCGAGGCUGAUUCACAACUUCGACUUCAAUACAAUUUCGAGAGUGUACCUGGAAGUAAAGAUGAAACAGAAGGGUGAGGAUUUCAGCAGUAACAGCAGCAGAGUUGGAUUCAGAUCCAAGGAAAUAGUGCACCAGAUUAGUUCAAAACCGUGAAAUGCAACCCAGAAUACCAAGGAUCCAAUUUCGGAUUCACAGUUAAACCAACAAACUCAACAUCCAAGCUAAAUGACUGAAACUCAAACUAUUUCUAGGUCCAAACAGUUAAGAAAUUGAUUCAAGGAGAGAAAAUUUCAGCUUAGCAAAUUCAAACUCAAUGGAACAGUGCUAAAGUUUUCAACUGUUUGCAGAUUUUUAUUUCCAGAUUUUUUUCUCUUAGUCUCAAUCUCUAAGGUCUGUAUUCUCUCUAUUCCUCGUAUCUCAAUGUGUGUUCCCCUUUUAAACUUCAAGCCUCCCUCCCUUUAUCUAUUAGUUAAUCCUUCUUUCCAACCUGUGUAUUCCUUUACACUUGUAUUCCUUUUCUUUUCAUCAUUGCCCCCAUGUUAUCUUAUUUCCAACUUUAUCAAAAGAGGCACUAAAUAGAGUGUCAUUUCCGCUACCAACCCCUUUUCAAUUCUCAAUUAACCCCCCCACUAACUUAAUGCUUUCUUAAUUUAAACAACUAUUGCAAUUCCAACCUCACCACUACCAAAAGCUUCCUAAGUAGGUGAAUACCUUUUUUUUUAUCAAACAACUCUCAAGCUAAAUACAACUAAAUGUGUUCAGGCCAAUAUAAUUGGAGGGCCAGAGAUGUCAUAUUAUUCGAGCUAACAUCUACAAAGUGCAUGGUUAAACCUAUGCUACUUUGAAGUUCCCAGUGAAGGUCUUUAUAGAACAUAAUGUUGGAGAAGCAUAUGACUUAUGUGAUUUAUUGAUGAAUUUAAAUACAAGAAUAUUAGUAGCGAAAGAGAAUGAGCUGCCUCAACCAUUUUGUUCCCAAUCUUGAGUGGCCCAAUUCACUACAGUAAUCAAUUAACAAAUUCCAAUCAAAGCAUUAACUUUACAAAAAUAUGCAAGACCAAACAAUUACCCACAUAGCAUUUGAAUCUACACGUAAUCACACUAAAGAAUAUCAUUUUAUAUAGCUGUGCAAUGCUCAAUCGCUCUCUUUAUAUAUAUCACUUUGACAUGGUUCAAAAUAAAUAAACAUAUGAUCAAAUAUUAGCAUUAAUUAUCUAUCUACUAACAGACUAUUACCACCCCCAAAAACUUUCCAUUGAUUUCCAUCAGAAAAUUACCACAGACACAAAAUUUGGACUGAUUGGGAAAAAACCUCAUACAAGUAUCCUAUAAUCAACAUCUUUGAAUUACCUAGGAUAUACAAAAUAUACAAAGAAGACAUGCCAAUUGAGGUAAUUUCCAGCUACGAUUAAUUCAAACUCAACCACAAGAAGCUUAGACGAAGAAAACCAACAAUCAACUGGCCAAGCAAACAAACCAGUAAUUCAGAACAUCUUUCACCAAACAAACAAGGCACUCAGUCACAUUAGACUUUAAUAUCAAAGCAAGUAAUAAGGAAAACGAAAAACAGACCUGAAAUUAAACGUCAAUUAACGGAAAUUUCCAACAACUCAAGCAACAUAAGUCAACUAUAAAUGCCGAAAUUGGAGACGGACGGAAUUUAAAAAAAAUGUCUUCGAACAGCACCCCCAAUCAAUCAACCUUGGAUCUUCAAUAAACUCAGUUCAACAAUGGCAACAAAAACAACUGUUGGAUUUUUAAAAGAAAAGAGAAGACGAUGGAGAUGAGGUGAGCCGCAGUGGACCCGCCGGCAUGUGACCGUGUGUGUGCUCGAUCUGUCCCUAAAUUUCCCGUCCUUAUUCGAUUCCCCUAUAUUGUUUUUCGUUGUUCUCUUGCAGUUGCUGGUGGUUGACGAGAGAGAAGAGAGCUCCGUUUGGUUUCAGGGGUGGUGGGGUGCGACGGGGAUGAAGUUUUCAG